rnacentral:rRNA from 1 species
CCUACGGGAGGCAGCAGUAAGGAAUAUUGGACAAUGCUCGCAAGAGUGAUCCAGCCAUGCCGCGUGCAGGAAGAAUGCCCUAUGGGUAGUAAACUGCUUUUGAACUAGAGAAAACCCCAGUACGUGUACUGGGCUGAUAGUAUAGUUAGAAUAAGCAUCGGCUAACUUCGUGCCAGCAGCCGCGGUAAGACGAAGGAUGCAAGCGUUAUCCGGAUUCAUUGGGUUUAAAGGGAGCGUAGGUGGACUGAUAAGUCAGUGGUGAAAUCUCCGAGCUUAACUCGGAAAUUGCCAUUGAUACUGUUGGUCUUGAGUACAGUUGCUGUGGGCGGAAUAUGACAUGUAGUGGUGAAAUACAUAGAGAUGUCAUAGAACACCGAUUGCGAAGGCAGCCACAAAGCUGUAACUGACACUGAGGCUCGAAAGUGCGGGGAUCAAACAGGAUUAGAUACCCUGGUAGUCCGCACCGUAAACGAUGAUUACUCGCUGCUAGGGGGCAACCUUUAGUGGCUUAGCGAAAGCGAUAAGUAAUCCACCUGGGGAGUACGUCGGCAACGGUGAAACGUCAAAGGAAUUGACGG